CCUGCCUACCUUCCGCCUCCCGCCCUUGCGGGGGAGGCGGUGCCCGGCUCCUGGUUUUGGCCGCCCCCGGCGCGGCCGCCUUGAGCGGUAGGGUGUGUGUGCCCCCCCUAGUGCUUGGAAAGUGGGGGGCCUGGCGAAAUCUCUCGCGGCGUGUUUGGUGUGUAACCGCCUAACUUUACGGUAGCACGGAGGCACAAAGAUCUGGAUUGAAGAGGCGAAAGCUGAUUUAAAAAAGGAACCUCCCUCCCCGCGGGUAUUAAACUGUACCGUUUGCCUUUCACACACUACUACUUUAACCGUUGAUUCGCGGUUUUGAUUCAUCAGCUUUUUUUGUGUGAAGUCAGAGGCAUUCUUUUGCUUGCAUCUUGGAAGUGAGCAAUAAGAAAAUGUCAUCCUCAAGGAGCAGAAACAGAUAGUAAAUAAGAUGGUAUUUAAACGGAUGCUGAUCAGACUGUCUGCUGUACAGGAAAUCGAAACAAAACUUAAGUGGGAAUAAAGAAGGUGAGAA